AUUGAACGCUGGCGGCAUGCUUUACACAUGCAAGUCGAACGGUGUGAGGGGGCAACUCCUCAUUCAGUGGCGAACGGGUGAGUAAUGCAUCGGAACGUGUCCCGUAGUGGGGGAUAACGCCGCGAAAGCGGCGCUAAUACCGCAUACGCUCUACGGAGGAAAGCGGGGGAUCGCAAGACCUCGCGCUAGGGGAGCGGCCGAUGUCCGAUUAGCUUGUUGGUGGGGUAAUGGCUUACCAAGGCGACGAUCGGUAGCUGGUCUGAGAGGAUGAUCAGCCACACUGGGACUGAGACACGGCCCAGACUCCUACGGGAGGCAGCAGUGGGGAAUUUUGGACAAUGGGGGAAACCCUGAUCCAGCCAUGCCGCGUGCGGGAAGAAGGCCUUCGGGUUGUAAACCGCUUUUAGCCGGGACGAAAGCGCCACGGAUAACACCCGUGGCGGUUGACGGUACCGGCGGAAUAAGCACCGGCUAACUACGUG
rnacentral:rRNA from 1 species